GCGCCUGUAGCUCAUCUGGAUAGAGUACCUGACUACGAAUCAGGGGGUAGCAGGUUCGAAUCCUGCCAGGCGCACCA
rnacentral:tRNA from 1 species